UACGGAGGGAGCUAGCGUUGUUCGGAAUUACUGGGGCGUAAAGCGCGCGUAGGCGGCUUUGCAAGUUAGAGGUGAAAGCCCGGAGCUCAACUUCGGAAUUGCCUUUAAAACUGCAUCGCUUGAAUCCGGGAGAGGUGAGUGGAAUUCCGAGUGUAGAGGUGAAAUUCGUAGAUAUUCGGAAGAACACCAGUGGCGAAGGCGGCUCACUGGACCGGCAUUGACGCUGAGGUGCGAAAGCGUGGGGAGCAAACAGG
rnacentral:rRNA from 1 species